GUGUCUGUCUCCGGCGUCGCGUCAGUGGUUUUACCCUAUGGUAGGUGACGUCAUGCUGUUCUACCACAGGGUAGAACCACGGACAGGAUGUCGAGGGGUGUCUCC
rnacentral:pre_miRNA from 10 species